rnacentral:tRNA from 1 species
GCGAGUGUAGUUCACUGGUUAGAACCGCUGUCUGAUGAACAGCAGAAGAGAGUUCAAUUCUCUCCACUCGUAC